rnacentral:rRNA from 1 species
UCGAGAAUUUUUCUCAAUGGGGGAAACCCUGAAGGAGCGACGCCGCGUGGAGGAUGAAGGUCUUCGGAUUGUAAACUCCUGUCAUGCGGGAACAAUGUGUCGCGAUUAACUGUCGCGGCAUUGAUAGUACCGCAAGAGGAAGAGACGGCUAACUCUGUGCCAGCAGCCGCGGUAAUACAGAGGUCUCAAGCGUUGUUCGGAUUCAUUGGGCGUAAAGGGUGCGCAGGCGGCAGGGCCAGUCAGAUGUGAAAUCCCGGGGCUCAACCCCGGAACUGCAUUUGAUACUGCCUUGCUUGAGGACUGGAGAGGAGACUGGAAUUCCCGGUGUAGCGGUGAAAUGCGUAGAUAUCGGGAGGAACGCCAAUGGCGAAGGCAAGUCUCUGGACAGUUCCUGACGCUCAGGCACGAAGGCCAGGGGAGCAAACGG